GGGCCCGCACAAGCGGUGGAGCAUGUGGUUUAAUUCGAUGCAACGCGAAGAACCUUACCUGGUCUUGACAUACACAGAAUCUUGUAGAGAUACGAGAGUGCCUUCGGGAACGCAGAGACAGGUGCUGCAUGGCUGUCGUCAGCUCGUGUUGUGAAAUGUUGGGUUAAGUCCCGUAACGAGCGCAACCCUUGUCCUUAUUUGCCAGCGCGUAAUGGCGGGAACUCUAAGGAGACUGCCGGUGACAAACCGGAGGAAGGUGGGGACGACGUCAAGUCAUCAUGGCCCUUACGAGUAGGGCUACACACGUGCUACAAUGGUCGGUACAAAGGGUUGCCAACUCGCGAGAGUGAGCCAAUCCCGAAAAGCCGAUCUCAGUCCGGAUCGGAGUCUGCAACUCGACUCCGUGAAGUCGGAAUCGCUAGUAAUCGUGGAUC
rnacentral:rRNA from 1 species